AAGUAUUGUUCAGGAACCGGUAUUGAAGUCAAGGUAUCGUUAUCGAUAUCGAAAAUUUUUGAACGAUACCCAGCCCUACUUAUGAACUACAACAA